UGGUGCUUUGCCCGUCAGGGUGGAAGCUUAAUAGGGAAGUCUGGUGUGAUACCGGCGCGGUCCCGCCACUGUAACAGAGGAGUCAGGUAGCGAUAAUCCAUUGGUUUAGACCGGGAAGGAGCUGCAAUGACCAUGAUUCUGGAGCCAGGAGAACUGCCAGGUUUAAC
rnacentral:ncRNA from 1 species